rnacentral:rRNA from 1 species
UGGACGAGAGUCUGAACCAGCCACGUAGCGUGCAGGAUGACGGCCCUAUGGGUUGUAAACUGCUUUUAUAGGGGGAUAAAGUGUGCCACGUGUGGCAUAUUGCAGGUACCCUAUGAAUAAGGACCGGCUAAUUCCGUGCCAGCAGCCGCGGUAAUA